rnacentral:piRNA from 1 species
UACAAUUUCUUUGGAAAUGACCAACAAUU